rnacentral:sRNA from 1 species
UUCUCUAACCAGAUUAUCUACCUCUUGAUGGCGGUGGUAAAGUUUCAUGAUAUCUGUACACAUAGUCCCUGGCAGCCUCUAUUACUCCUAACCCAUCUACAAGGAGAAAAAAACCAAAUCAUUAAUAUGACUUGGAAGAUACUUUUUCAUCUUGCUCUGGCCACAUUGUGUUUCUCAUCCCUCCCCAUUCCUUCACAGGUACUUAACUCCAACAUGCAGAACAAGGAGCAGCUCCCUGAACACAUGCUCUCUCUAGAGUCCUUCCCUUUCUAUAUAGUGUUCUUUUCUUCUGAAAUAACCUUUUUCUCCCCAGUUAAUUUCUAUAAGUCUUUCCUAACUCAACACAUACUACAGUGCACUUUUCAUUCGACCUAGUAGUAUUUAUUGGGGACCUGCUAUGUGUCAGGCACUGUUCUAGGGGUUGAGAUUAAGAGAACAAGAUCGAUCAAGUCCUUCUCUCCUGGACGUUCGAUUUUAGUUGAGAGAGACAAGAUAAUAAGCAAAGAAGAAAAAUAUCAAACAGUGAGAAGUGCUAUAUAAAAAGUUAAAAUAGGGUAAUAUAGGAGUGACUUGAUACUUUAGAUAGAGUGAUCAGGGAAAUAUCUGGUAACACUUAAUCAAAAUCUGAAUGACAAAAACAGCUGCAUUCACUGUAUGAUGAUUGUAUGUUAGGUAUUGUUUGAAGUGCUUUACAUGUGUUAGCUCACUUGAUCCUCAAAACAGCCUUUUGCAGUUGUUACCAUUAUCCUCAUUUGACAAGAAAACUGAGGCACUAGAGCCCAUGUUCUGAACCACAUGCUAAACUGCCUGCCUUAUGAAAAGACUGAGUGAAAAUGAGAAAAGAGAAUUCAGAGUAGAGAGAAUAACCACUGCAAGUCCCCUAAGGCUGGUUGGAGCUUGGCAUGUUCAAAAAAAAGAAUGCCGGUUUGGCUGCACCCUGGAGGGCAAAGGAGAGCAUGGGAAGGGGGGUGACAGAGGGAGGCAGGUUGCAGAUCACACAGGACUUGAGUGAGCAGGGAAAUUAGUUUAGAUUUUAUUCUAAGUGCUAUAGUAAACCAGUUUUGGGGUUACUGUUCUGUGACAUGGUUUAGGGGCUGCCAUGUUUGGUCUCCAUCAUACUGUUGCAAUUAGAUGGCAGCUGGGGCUGGAGGCAUCUGAAGCCUUUUUCACUUACAUUCUGGUUCUUGGGCUGGGAUAACUGAACCUGCUGGGGGCUGUCGGGCAUCUCUCUCACUGAGGAGCUUCUUCAUGUGACUUGGUUGGGCUUGCAUACAACAUAGCAAUCUCGAGCUGGUUGGACUCCGUACAUGACAGCUGUCUUCUCCUAGCAUGAGCAUUCCAGGAGACAGGAAGUAGGAGCUGCCAGUCCCUUAGAGUCUAUGUUGGGAAACUGGCACAAUGUCACUUUUGCCAUAUUCUGUUGGUCAAAAUAGUCACAGAGCCAGGUGUUAUUCCAGGGGAGGGGACUUAGAUGCCACCUCUCAGUGGGAAAAGUAUCAAAGAAUUUGUGGCCCAGCCGGGCACAGUGGCUCACACCUGUAAUCCCAGCACUUUAGGAGCCCAAGUCUGGCAGAUCACUUGAGGCCAGGAGUUUGAGACCAGCCUGGUUAAUAUGGCAAAACCCCUUCUCUACUUAAAAAAUACAAAAAUUAGCUGGGCAUAGUGGCAGACAUCUGUAAUCCCAGCUUCUUGGGAGGCUGAGGCACGAAAAUCACUUGAACCUGGGAGGUGAAGGCUACAAUAAGCCAAGAUUGUGCCACUGUACUCCCGCCUGGGCAACAGACAGAGUGAGACCCUGUCUUAAAAAAAGAAAGAAAAAACAAAUCGAAUUUGUGGGCAUUUUUAGGCUACCAGAGAUUACAAUCUUUUUUCACAUUUUAAAAGGCUCAUUCUUGCUGCUGGGUAAAGAGUGACUGGGAAAGGGCGAGAGAGGAGCAGUUAGAUUGUCAUACUUUAGGCUUCCCCAGCAUCCUGUGGGUGUCUUUAUCAAUGCGUAGCAUACAGUUUUGCAGUUAUUUGUUUUGCAUGUCUGUUUUCUCCACUGGACUGAACUUCUGAAGAUAAAGACUCUCUCUCAUCUCCAUAACCCCAAAACCUGGCAUCUCAUACUAGAUGCUUAAUAAAUUUUUUUUUUUUUUUUGAGAUGGAGUUUCACUCUUGUUGCCCAGGCUAGAGUGCAAUGGUGCGAUCUUGGCUCACCACAACCUCCGCCUACUGGGUUCAAGCAAUUCUCCUGCCUCAGCCUCCCAAGUAGCUAGGAUUACAGGCAUGUGCCACCACACCCGGCUAAUUUUGUAUUUUUAGUUGAGACAGACUUUCUUCAUAUUGGUCAGGCUGGUCUUGAACUCCUGACCUCAGGCGAUCCACCCGCCUCGGCCUCCCAAAGUGCUGGGAUUACAGGCGUGAGCCACUGCACCCAGCCAAUAAAUGUUUUAUGACUCAAAGAAUAAUUAUAAACGGAGACCAAAGCAUUACAAGUCAUAAGAAUAUACUUUUAGAUAUUUUCAUACUAAUUAUAUCUAAUUGUGAUAUAGGCACAAGAUCUAGCUUUUAAAGACUUUUGCAUUUUUCAGAUAAAAACCCUGAGUAUUGCUUUAGUAUUGUGAUCCUAUCUGAAGACAGGUUUGUUCAAUCUUAAUUGUUGUUUAUAGUAUUUUAUUACCAUUUUUUUUACUAAGAACACUGUCAAAACUUUUUAGUAUUUCUUUAGACCAUCUCAUUCAUAAAUCAACACUUACUGUUGAUGCGUGUUCUGUGUGAAACCCUCAGUGGAGGAAAUAGCAAAGAACUAGAAGUCAUGGUCUCAUUUGAAGGACUGUACUUCUAAUUCAAUAAAAAAUGUAGAAAAAAUCAUUUUUAGUAUGACCAACAUGGAGAAACCCUGACUCUACUAAAAAUAGAAAAUUAGCCGGGCGUGGUGGUGCAUGUCUGUAAUUCCAGCUACUCGGGAGGCUGAGGCAGGAGAAGCACUUGAACCCGGGAGGCAGAGAUUGUGAGCCAAGAUGGCACCAUUGCACCCCAGCCUGGGCAACAAGAGUGAAACUGUCUCAAAAAAAAAAAAAAAAAAUCAAAUCUUCUUUAUAACUGUAAGAAAAUAGUUAUCUACAACUUUUUGCUAAUCUUUCUUUUUUUUUUUUUUUGUUUUUUUGAGACAGAGUUUCACUCUUGUUGCCCAGGCAGGAGUGUAGUGGUGCAAUCUCGGCUCUCAGUCUCUCAGGGUAUCCUGAAGCAGUUUAUGUUGUUUAUACCGGCGAUGUUAAUGUCAACGGUCAACAGAUACUAGAAGGUGCUUUCAGAAGAUUUAACAUCAGAUUAAUUCACCCAGUGCAGUUUGUUUUUUUAAGGAAACGCUAUCUUGUGGAAGAUUCACUGUAUCCUCACUUCACACUGCUGGGCCAAAGUCUAGGAUCCAUUUUUCUUGGCUGGGAAGCUCUAAUGCAGUGUGUUCCUGAUGUUUACAUUGAUUCAAUGGGAUACGCUUUUACACUUCCUCUGUUUAAGUAUAUAGGGGGUUGCCAAGUUGGAAGCUAUGUUCAUUAUCCUACUAUCAGCACCGACAUGCUCUCUGUAGUGAAGAAUCAAAAUAUUGGAUUUAAUAAUGCAGCCUUCAUUACCAGGAAUCCUUUUCUCAGCAAAGUAAAGCUCAUCUACUACUAUUUAUUUGCUUUUAUUUAUGGACUUGUUGGUUCUUGCAGUGAUGUAGUCAUGGUCAAUUCUUCUUGGACACUAAAUCAUAUUCUCUCACUAUGGAAAGUUGGGAAUUGCACUAACAUUGUUUAUCCACCUUGCGAUGUGCAGACAUUUCUGGACAUUCCCUUACAUGAGAAAAAGAUGACCCCAGGACAUUUGCUGGUUUCUGUUGGCCAGUUUAGGCCGGAAAAGAAUCAUCCAUUGCAGAUCAGAGCCUUUGCUAAAUUGCUGAAUAAGAAGAUGGUUGAGUCACCUCCUUCACUUAAACUUGUCCUCAUUGGAGGUUGUCGUAACAAAGAUGAUGAACUUAGGGUAAACCAACUGAGAAGGCUGUCUGAGGAUUUAGGAGUUCAAGAAUAUGUGGAAUUUAAAAUAAACAUUCCAUUUGAUGAAUUAAAGAAUUAUUUGUCUGAAGCAACAAUUGGUCUGCAUACCAUGUGGAACGAGCAUUUUGGGAUUGGAGUUGUGGAGUGUAUGGCAGCUGGCACAAUUAUCCUUGCACACAAUUCGGGGGGCCCAAAGCUUGACAUUGUGGUUCCUCACGAAGGAGAUAUAACUGGCUUUCUGGCUGAGAGUGAAGAAGACUAUGCUGAAACUAUCGCUCACAUUCUUUCCAUGUCUGCAGAAAAGAGACUCCAAAUCAGAAAAAGUGCUCGUGCAUCUGUAAGCAGAUUCUCUGAUCAGGAAUUUGAAGUAACAUUCCUAUCAUCUGUGGAAAAGUUAUUUAAGUAAUGCCGUAUCUGUAAAAUUAAAGAUAUUUUAUAUAAACUGGUUAAACACCUUCAUAUGUAAAUAUUUUUCUAAAUUCAAUCUCAUUUGUCAAAUCAUUUUACUUUAGAAAACAGACAAGAAAAUUUCCUUUUAGAAUAAAAGGAAGUGUUGAAAAGAAAAUGG